ensembl:snRNA U6 U6 spliceosomal RNA
GUGCUCACUUCAGCAGCACAUAUACUAAAAUUGGAACAAUAUAAGGAUUAGCAUGGCCCCUGCACAAGGGUGACAUCCAAAUUCGUGAAAUGUUCCAUAUUUUU